rnacentral:rRNA from 1 species
UUUAUGGAGAGUUUGAUCCUGGCUCAGGAUGAACGCUGGCGGCGUGCCUAAUACAUGCAAGUCGAGCGAACGGACGAGAAGCUUGCUUCUCUGAUGUUAGCGGCGGACGGGUGAGUAACACGUGGAUAACCUACCUAUAAGACUGGGAUAACUUCGGGAAACCGGAGCUAAUAC